rnacentral:lncRNA from 1 species
GGGUGAUUCGAAACCAUGUUCAUACUUGCAAUAUGAUUUGAUUACAUCCAGUUGUGAAUUCAAUUUACUUAUCCGAUCGUAUAAAAAAUGAUUUGUGUAUGUUGGUUGAGAGUGCACGCUUAAUUUUUAUGAUGAAUUUAACGCUAGAAUAUAAGGGAGUUUCACCUAAUCGUUAUGAACUUAUAUUCACAAGUAGUGAAGGU